rnacentral:rRNA from 1 species
GACGAACGCUGGCGGCGUGCCUAAUACAUGCAAGUCGAGCGGACCACUUCGGUGGUCAGCGGCGGACGGGUGAGUAACACGUGGGCAACCUGCCUGUAAGACUGGGAUAACACCGGGAAACCGGUGCUAAUACCGGAUAAUUCUUCUCCUCUCAUGAAGAGAAGCUGAAAGACGGUUUCGGCUGUCACUUACAGAUGGGCCCGCGGCGCAUUAGCUAGUUGGUGAGGUAACGGCUCACCAAGGCAACGAUGCGUAGCCGACCUGAGAGGGUGAUCGGCCACACUGGGACUGAGACACGGCCCAGACUCCUACGGGAGGCAGCAGUAGGGAAUCUUCCGCAAUGGACGAAAGUCUGACGGAGCAACGCCGCGUGAGCGAUGAAGGCCUUCGGGUCGUAAAGCUCUGUUGUCAGGGAAGAACAAGUACCGGAGUAACUGCCGGUACCUUGACGGUACCUGACCAGAAAGCCACGGCUAACUACGUGCCAGCAGCCGCCGCUG